rnacentral:rRNA from 1 species
AGAGUUUGAUCCUGGCUCAGGACGAACGCUGGCGGCGUGCCUAACACAUGCAAGUCGAGCGGAGGUAAGCUGAUGGUAACUGAAGCUUACUUUAGCGGCGGACGGGUGAGUAACACGUGGGCAACCUGCCUCGAAGUGGGGGAUAACACCGAGAAAUCGGUGCUAAUACCGCAUAACAUACAGACAUCACAUGGUGACUGUAUCAAAGGAGAAAUCCGCUUUGAGAUGGGCCCGCGGCUGAUUAGCUAGUUGGUGAGGUAACGGCUCACCAAGGCGACGAUCAGUAGCCGACCUGAGAGGGUGACCGGCCACACUGGAACUGAGACACGGUCCAGACUCCUACGGGAGGCAGCAGUGGGGAAUAUUGCGCAAUGGGGGAAACCCUGACGCAGCAACGCCGCGUGGAGGAAGAAGGUCUUCGGAUUGUAAACUCCUGUCUUCUGGGACGAUAAUGACGGUACCAGAGGAGGAAGCCACGGCUAACUACGUGCCAGCAGCCGCGGUAAUACGUAGGUGGCGAGCGUUGUCCGGAAUUACUGGGCGUAAAGGGCGCGUAGGCGGCUCUUUAAGUCAGAUGUGAAAACCCAGGGCUUAACUUUGGGAGUGCAUUUGAAACUGAAGGGCUCGAGUGCAGGAGAGGUAAGUGGAAUUCCUAGUGUAGCGGUGAAAUGCGUAGAUAUUAGGAGGAACACCAGUGGCGAAGGCGACUUACUGGACUGUAACUGACGCUGAGGCGCGAAAGCGUGGGGAGCAAACAGGAUUAGAUACCCUGGUAGUCCACGCUGUAAACGAUGGAUACUAGGUGUGGGAGGUAUCGACCCCUUCCGUGCCGCAGUAAACGCAAUAAGUAUCCCGCCUGGGGAGUACGGCCGCAAGGGUUGAAACUCAAAUGAAUUGACGG